UGGACCACCCAAUCCAAGCUUUAACCGCCCC
rnacentral:piRNA from 1 species